GGAAUCCAUCUUUUUACGAAAUAUAACGUAAAGGCGUAUUGUUUGAUCCUGAGGAAUUCAUCCUUUUACGAAAUGUAACGUAACGGGAGUUUAUUCGAUCUUAGGGAAUUCAUCCUUCUGGAAAAUGUAAAGGUGGAGUUUUUGAUCCUAAGGAAUUCAUCCAUUUACGAAAUGUAACGUAAAAGGAGUUUGUUCGAUCUUAGGGAAUUUAUCCUAUUGAGAAAUGUAACGUAAAGGCGAAUUGUUCGAUACCUUUACGUUACAUUUAGUAAAAAGAUGAAUUCU